rnacentral:rRNA from 1 species
CUGAUGCAGCGACGCCGCGUGAGGGAUGAAGGCCUUCGGGUUGUAAACCUCUUUCGCUCAUGGUCAAGCCGCAACAGUGGUUGUGGUGAGGGUAGUGGGUAAAGAAGCACCGGCUAACUACGUGCCAGCAGCCGCGGUAAUACGUAGGGUGCGAGCGUUGUCCGGAAUUAUUGGGCGUAAAGGGCUUGUAGGCGGUUUGUCGCGUCUGCCGUGAAAUCCUCUGGCUUAACUGGGGGCGUGCGGUGGGUACGGGCAGGCUUGAGUGCGGUAGGGGAGACUGGAACUCCUGGUGUAGCGGUGGAAUGCGCAGAUAUCAGGAAGAACACCGGUGGCGAAGGCGGGUCUCUGGGCCGUUACUGACGCUGAGGAGCGAAAGCGUGGGGAGCGAACA